rnacentral:rRNA from 2 species
AACGGCCAUACCAUGCUGAAUAUACCGGUUCUCGUUAGAUCACCGAAGUCAAGCAUCAUUGGGCGCGGUCAGUACUUGGGUGGGUGACCACAUGGGAACACCGCGUGCCGUU